rnacentral:rRNA from 1 species
GAAGGAUCAUUAACGAGUGCUUUGAAGGUGGGUUUGAUGCCUGGCGCUUUUUUCAAGUGCAUGUGCUCGGCCUACACUCAAUUCCACUUAACCCCUGUGCACUAUUCGGAGUGUGUUGUCUGGUAUCCUUUUCCUUGGAAGGGGGGAAAAGGAGGCCUUUUCCGUUUUCCAUUCCAAAUUUUCCUUGGGUUAUGUUGAAAGUUAUUCCUUUUUUUUGAGGUGAAAUUGAAAUACAACUUUCAACAACGGAUCUCUUGGCUCUCGCAUCGAUGAAGAACGCAGCGAAAUGCGAUAAGUAAUGUGAAUUGCAGAAUUCAGUGAAUCAUCGAAUCUUUGAACGCACCUUGCGCUCCUUGGUAUUCCGAGGAGCAUGCCUGUUUGAGUGUCAUGUUAAUCUCAACUUCAUUGGCUUUUUUGUCAGUGAAAUUGGAAUUGGAGGUUGCUGCUGGCUUUGCUAAAAAGCCGGCUCCUCUUAAAUGCAUUAGCUUUGGAAUCUUUCUGCGCAAUCUUGCGGUGUGAUAGUUCUAUUCACUGCAGAUGUGUCAGAUUACAUAAUGGGUUCCGCUUCAAAUACUCUUGUUUGACACAAUUAUAAUCUUGACUCUGACCUCAAAUCAGGUAGGACUACCCGCUGAACUUAAGCAUAUCAUAAACCCGAAAGGAAUC